rnacentral:rRNA from 1 species
AUUGAACGCUGGCGGCAUGCCUUACACAUGCAAGUCGAACGGCAGCACGGGGCAACCUGGUGGCGAGUGGCGAACGGGUGAGUAAUGCAUCGGAACGUACCUUUCAGUGGGGGAUAACGUAGCGAAAGUUACGCUAAUACCGCAUAUUCUGUGAGCAGGAAAGCAGGGGAUCGCAAGACCUUGCGCUGAUUGAGCGGCCGAUGUCAGAUUAGCUAGUUGGUGAGGUAAAGGCUCACCAAGGCGACGAUCUGUAGCGGGUCUGAGAGGAUGAUCCGCCACACUGGAACUGAGACACGGUCCAGAGUCCUACGGGAGGCAGCAGUGGGGAAUGUUGGACAAUGGGGGCAACCCUGAUCCAGCCAUGCCGCGUGAGUGAAGAAGGCCUUCGGGUUGUAAAGCUCUUUCGGCCGGGAAGAAAUCGCACGGGCUAAUACCCUGUGUGGAUGACGGUACCGGAAUAAGAAGCACCGGCUAACUACGUGCCAGCCGCCGCAGUAACAC